GAAGAAAAGUGAUCUCAGAUGGAGGCUAAUAGGUGAAGGCAUUGCAGAAAGCUGCUGCUCGAACAGCUCUUAUCACGUAUGCUUGAUGGUUACUCAUAGAGCCCAAUAAAAAUUCUCUCUGAUGAUUGAGGCGACUAAAACACUCAAUAUUAAGGCUCCUGACUUGAGUGUAUGCUGAAGUCCUCUAACCAAUGUAUAUACCCUGGCCGUUAGUAGCUGUUCAUACAAGAAUCUUUUGAUAUGCAUUAUUAAAGAGACGGAAUGUAUCAAACUGAAACCUCCGUUAUCUCUUGAUAUUGCAAAAAAGAGAGGUAAUCUAUCAAAUGAACUACUGCAAAAGAAUCUGAGGACCUUUUUUGGUUCUAUAUGUUAGCAGAGGAACGAAGAGAUAUCACAAUAGAAAUGGAGAAUCCAGCCAUUUCUACAGGAAACAGCUUAGCCACGUUAAGCGUGCGGG